GGCUAAAGAAUAUUGGACUAUUGGUUUUGCUAUUGGUUUUCCAAUAUACUCGUUAAGCACGUGAUCGCGCCUUAGCGUGUUGUCAUCAAUUAUUGCAAGGAACCAUAUUCUCAAAUUUUAUAUUGAAAUUGCUAUAUUUGACUCCAGAGACGGCACAAAAGCAAAUGAAUGAAAUGCUUUAACAUUUCCUUGGUGUGGUAUUGGAGUGUGCCUUCCAGGACAUCAUGCAUGGCAUCAGCUGGUAGUCCUCCAAUGACAUGAUAGUACCUUGAUUUACCUAGUACCGAUCUUCGAUUUAACCCAUACAUUACACUGAAGUGUUCGGAUUGCAUCAGAUGUCUGCAAUGGAUUUCAUAUCCAUCUUUUGUUCGUAGUUCAAACUCGCUUUCAAGGAACUACAUAAAAAGAUGAUCUGGUCCAUACCUGUUCAAGUUGAAUAAUAUCUUCCAUAAUACGAUCAAGAAUGCAUUCAAUUCCAUAUUUCUUGAUAUGUUUGCUGUUGACAAUUGCAAGAAGCUGAAUGGCAUUUAAACUUGACCUCUUAUCUGGUGAUAUGUUCCCCAAAGUGUAGUAUAUGUUGCCUAUAAUCAAGGUCUUGUGAACCAUUGUAAUUUGGGGACAUAAUGGACUAUAUAGACAUAUCCUGUUCUACUUCAGGUACUGUAACU